rnacentral:rRNA from 1 species
UGCAAGUCGAGCGGAUGAAGGGAGCUUGCUCCUGGAUUCAGCGGCGGACGGGUGAGUAAUGCCUAGGAAUCUGCCUGGUAGUGGGGGAUAACGUCCGGAAACGGGCGCUAAUACCGCAUACGUCCUGAGGGAGAAAGUGGGGGAUCUUCGGACCUCACGCUAUCAGAUGAGCCUAGGUCGGAUUAGCUAGUUGGUGGGGUAAAGGCCUACCAAGGCGACGAUCCGUAACUGGUCUGAGAGGAUGAUCAGUCACACUGGAACUGAGACACGGUCCAGACUCCUACGGGAGGCAGCAGUGGGGAAUAUUGGACAAUGGGCGAAAGCCUGAUCCAGCCAUGCCGCGUGUGUGAAGAAGGUCUUCGGAUUGUAAAGCACUUUAAGUUGGGAGGAAGGGCAGUAAGUUAAUACCUUGCUGUUUUGACGUUACCAACAGAAUAAGCACCGGCUAACUUCGUGCCAGCAGCCGCGGUAAUACGAAGGGUGCAAGCGUUAAUCGGAAUUACUGGGCGUAAAGCGCGCGUAGGUGGUUCAGCAAGUUGGAUGUGAAAUCCCCGGGCUCAACCUGGGAACUGCAUCCAAAACUACUGAGCUAGAGUACGGUAGAGGGUGGUGGAAUUUCCUGUGUAGCGGUGAAAUGCGUAGAUAUAGGAAGGAACACCAGUGGCGAAGGCGACCACCUGGACUGAUACUGACACUGAGGUGCGAAAGCGUGGGGAGCAAACAGGAUUAGAUACCCUGGUAGUCCACGCCGUAAACGAUGUCGACUAGCCGUUGGGAUCCUUGAGAUCUUAGUGGCGCAGCUAACGCGAUAAGUCGACCGCCUGGGGGAGUACGGCCGCAAGGUUAAAACUCAAAUGAAUUGACGGGGGCCCGCACAAGCGGUGGGAGCAUGUGGUUUAAUUCGAAGCAACGCGAAGAACCUUACCUGGCCUUGACUGCUGAGACUUUCCAGAGAUGGAUUGGUGCUUCGGGAAUCAGACCGGGGGCUGCAUGGCUGUCGCCGCUCGGGCCGGGAAAGGUGGGGUAGUUCCGAACCGAGGCACCCUUGCCUUAGUUCCGCGCCUCGGGGGGCAUUUAAGAAACUCCGGGAAAACCGAAAGAGAGGGG